AGCAGCCGCGGUAAUUCCAGCUCCAAUAGCGUAUAUUAAAGUUGUUGCAGUUAAAAAGCUCGUAGUUGAAUUUCGAGAUCAAAUUGUUGGUCGUGCCUCGGUACGUACUGGCAUUAUUGAUUUCUCCCUUCUGAAGAACCACGAUGUCAUUAAUUUGGUGUCGCGGGGAAUCAGGACUGUUACUUUGAAAAAAUUAGAGUGUUUAAAGCAGGCUCACGCUUGAAUACAUUAGCAUGGAAUAAUGAAAUAGGACGUUUGAUUCUAUUUUGUUGGUUUCUAGGAUCGACGUAAUGAUUAAUAGGGAUAGUUGGGGGCAUUAGUAUUCAAUUGUCAGAGGUGAAAUUCUUGGAUUUAUUGAAGACUAACUACUGCGAAAGCGUUUGCCAAGGAUGUUUUCAUUAAUCAAGAACGAAAGUUAGGGGAUCGAAGACGAUCAGAUACCGUCGUAGU
rnacentral:rRNA from 1 species